AUGUCAAUCCAAACGUCAUCUUGUGUUUCCCUAAUUUUACACCCUCUCUCCCAAAUCUGCCCCCAUUCAGUGCAAUCUUAAUGAUUCCUUCAACCAAAACCCUUGUAAAUCGAAGAAGCGAAUGAAACGGUGGGCAAUAAGAACUGAAUGUUAUUGAAUCGUUUGCCAUCUCCAUUUAUAGUUAUAUUGAAUGUUGAAUUUCAUGAGUUCUUCAGUUGCGAAACCGUUGUAUAAAUCAAAUACCUCAAGGCUGAAACGAUUGGCCAUCUCUUCAUCCCGACGUAUUGCUCCACAAAUUUCUGGGGUUUUCCAUUUCUAAGUUUAUUGCGAUCUUCUUGUGCAAGUAAACACAGAGCAAAAUACCAUUUAGGGUUUUUCUAAAUCGAUUAAUUCAUUGAUAACUGCAUAUUCUACAAUCAUUUUGAAGCGAAGCAGAUUCACCACUUCAAUCAUGUGGACUCUCAAUUUUCCAAGGUCCAAUUUUCUACUCAGAAUUUCUUAACUGGUACCAACUAGAUUUGUUAGGGUUUUUUAGCAUUUUGACAAUUUUACAUGCUGUGCUGUGUUUACAUAUAUAUUUAUUGAUUAGUUGUAAUAACCUGUAUGAAUUGUAUCCUCUUGUUUUGAUUGAUCGAAAUGAUUUGUUUCAUGUGACUUUAGCUUAGGUUUAUUGAUGAUGAUUUUGAAGUUAGGGAUUUUAAUAUCGGUGUAUGAUGUUGAAUUACUUUUAUUUAGGCUUGAAGGUCGGUUACCACUAAUGAUAUUUAUUUUGUCCUUGGUUUGAUUGUGUUUAGCUUAUGGUUGACUCUGGAUUGAAGCUUACACAAUUUCAUAGAUCAAUCUAAAUCGCUUUCUACCACUUUAGAUACCAGGUUUUUGAGCCAUGUGGUUUUAUCAAAUGGAUUUGUUUUUAAUUAUAUGUUGGCUGGUGAGCUAAUGUACCAUAAUAGUAGAUUAUGUUUCUGCAUAUUCAAAAAAUUAAACUAGAAUUUGUGUUUUUAGGGUUAAGGUUUUUCAAUGGUUGCAGAUGACGAGUUACUGUUAAUUUCAUGUUUUCGUUGAGGAAAAUAUAGCUCGAAUCAGGCUUUACGAGCUUAGGAACAAAUCGAAGUUGAAUUGAAUGAUCUCCAACUGGUCGUAAUAUCUACAAUCUAGGGGUGCUAAGAUAUUAGAAGGUUUAGAUGCUGUGAGGAAAAGACCUGGAAUGUACAUUGGAACUUUGGAAGUACGGGGUUUUGUGGUCUACAUCAUCUGGUUUAUGAAAUACUGGAUAACGCUGUUGAUGAAGCCCAAGCUGGUUUUGUUUCAAAAGUCGACAUUGUCUUACUCGCAGACGGGUCAGUGUGCAUCACUGACAAUGGACGUGGGGACGUAGGGUGGAAGUGUAUCCCUCAUUCGCAUGCAGAAUUGACAAAGUGGAACGACCAGUAAACAGGUCCGAGCCAGCAGCCCUAGAAAGAUGAGAACGACGCUGGAGGCGGAGGCCUAAAGACUAGAUGGUGGAUUUCUCACUUAAGCAAGUUAGGCAUGAUCUGGUAGAGAGAAGCAACUCGAGGGGGGAUUUAAAUCAGCACAUUACUAGCAAGAUCGUGGUGCCGAAGGUGAAUUGUUUCGUUUGGAGAGCCACCACUCGUAAGAUAACUACGGCUAUGUGGCCUUGGCGGCCGUUUGGUGAUGAAUUUUGUCCGAUGUGUGGCAUAGUGAAUGAAAAGGCUGACCGCUUUCUCGUUGAGUGCUCAUUCUCGAAGUCGGUGUGGUGGUUGGUCUGUAGAUGGUUGAAUGAGUUCAACCUUAUACAUUACACCACUUAGCCGCCCUAAAACUCCUAGACAGUAGACCCUAUUACUGUCUUCACAAAUCUUUUCCUUUGCUUUUUAGUGUUGUUUCAACACAAUAAUCAACCAUCCUACUUGGACAACUUAUAUAUGACUUAUUUAUCGUUUGAGUAAAUUACAAGUUUUGUCCUUUAUGUAAACACCAAAUUGCAGGCGGUGUCCUUUAUCUUUAAAAUUGACGGGUUUUGUACUUAAUGUUUCAAAAUCUUGCACGGUAUGUCUUUUAAGCCUAACCCAGUUUAUUUUUUUUUGUUAAAUCUGGUCAUGUGCCAUGCACAUGAGGGUAUUAUUGUCAUUUGACUAUUUCAGGGGUUAUUAUGUAAAUAAUAUAUAAAUAUAGACUGUUUUAUAAAAAUAAGAGUGUAUUGCAAGUUUUGUCCUUU